AUGCUGUUGAUCAUAAUUUAUUCUCUCACACUGAUUCUUAAGUACGUAGGCAGAACCUUUCAGUGUAAAUUGAAUUCAAUUUACACUCACAAGAGUGAAAAACCUAAUGAGUGCAACAUGACUGUAUUGGUGAAAGCAAAAGCUUCAGUUAGUUUGUAAAAGAACAAAGGCCCGUUGUGUGUAUAUCUUUGAAACCAGGUUGCAAGUCUUGUAUGUUAUAGUGAAAAGAAAUCUGGUGCUGAUCCAACAAACUGUGACAUACCCGUUCCCAGUCAUUCUUGCAGCUCCCCAUAGGUUAUGCAACCCUUAGAUUCCAAAAUAAAAGCAUUCAAAACUCCUUUCCACCUUUAUUCAGGUCCUGGAUGGAGAAAGUCAGAGGGAAAUAGUCAAUUCAUCAUAUCCGAGAUGGCUUUCUUGUUUAGCAUUGUUUAUUUCAUUGUCGAGGUUUGCUCUUCUGCUCACACCUUCUCACUCACCAUUCAGACAUCUAUCCCACACAAAACUGACUAAGACAUAUAUGUGUGUCUUCAGAGAACUGUAAUCUGAGUGCUAGGAAGAGAAACUACAUGGCCAGAAAACUAGAUUCACAAAAACAUUUUUUCCUUCCCAUCAAUGCAUACAUUAAAACUGGAGAUCUUUGGAAUACAGACUAUAUGUUUGCAGAACCAAUAGAUAAAAGAAAGGGGAGAGACACUGAGCAAGAGAUUGAGAGAGUGGGGUGGGGUGGGGAAAUACAAACUAUUUAAAAAAGCACAUACACUGCCGCUGACACUGUUGUGACAGCCAGCAGUAUCAGCGGCAGUCAAUUAUCUUCACAAAUGCCUCGUGUGCUAAUGAGACUCACAAAAAUCACCAGACUUUUCUGGCAAGGAGAAAAGAUCAGUUUCAUUGCUUGCAGAACUAAUUCAGUGUACAAAAGUGAAGGCUCCACCAUGGUUGCCUCUUUUACUGCUCCCUUUGUGAAGGCUUUUGAUGUCCACUGAAGAGUUGGGUUUGUGUUUGGGGCUCUUCAUCUCCAGUUCAUUGCCUGUCAUUAACAUACAUAUCCAUAUGAAAAGUUUGUGGCCCAUGGCGUUCACACUGGGAGGAAUGCUGACCCUGCUCAGGACGCUGCCACAGCAGCUGAAACCGAGGAGAGAUGAUGUGACAAGUCGUGGUGGGCACUCCUUCAGAUCCCUUGUCUGCCAAUUUUACACAUGAGGUCCAUCUCAAAGAGCCUCCCGCAUCCAUCUUGUCCAAUUUAAUUGGAUCGCCUAAGUGGUGGAUAAGGAUUAAAUGGGAAUUUUGUAAUGGAG
rnacentral:lncRNA from 11 species